rnacentral:rRNA from 1 species
GUGUUCGGGUUGUCAUGCCAAUGGCACUGCCCGGUAGCUAAAUGCGGAAGAGAUAAGUGCUGAAAGCAUCUAAGCACGAAACUUGCCCCGAGAUGAGUUCUCCCUGAGACUUAGAGUCUCCUGAAGGAACGUUGAAGACGACGACGUUGAUAGGCCGGGUGUGUAAGCGCAGCGAUGCGUUGAGCUAACCGGUACUAAUGAACCGUGAGGCUUAACCUU